UACGUAGGGCGCAAGCGUUGUCCGGAAUUAUUGGGCGUAAAGAGCUCGUAGGCGGUCUGUCGCGUCGAAUGUGAAAGCCCGGGGCUUAACCCCGGGUCUGCAUUCGAUACGGGCAGACUAGAGUGUGGUAGGGGAGAUCGGAAUUCCUGGUGUAGCGGUGAAAUGCGCAGAUAUCAGGAGGAACACCGGUGGCGAAGGCGGAUCUCUGGGCCAUUACUGACGCUGAGGAGCGAAAGCGUGGGGAGCGAACAGG
rnacentral:rRNA from 1 species